CAGUAGCCGCGGGAAUACGUAGGGCGCAAGCGUUGUCCGGAAUUAUUGGGCGUAAAGAGCUCGUAGGCGGUCUGUCGCGUCUGGUGUGAAAUCCCGAGGCUCAACCUCGGGCUUGCAUCGGGUACGGGCAGACUAGAGUGCGGUAGGGGAGACUGGAAUUCCUGGUGUAGCGGUGGAAUGCGCAGAUAUCAGGAGGAACACCGAUGGCGAAGGCAGGUCUCUGGGCCGCAACUGACGCUGAGGAGCGAAAGCAUGGGGAGCGAACAGGAUUAGAUACCCCUGUAGUCCCUGUCUCUUAUAC
rnacentral:rRNA from 1 species